rnacentral:rRNA from 1 species
AUGCUUCCUUCGACGGCUCGCCCUGCAGGUGCCGCGGCGGCCUACACGCAGCCGCAGCUGAGGCAGAUGAGGGCGCAGUGCCUCGUCUUCCUUGCCUUCAAGAACCAGAUGGAGCCCAGGAAGCGGCACCUCGAGAUCGCGCUCGGUGAGGAUGACAUCGACGGAGCCGGCUGCCACGGCGAGACGACGACGACGAGCUCACCUUCUCAAGCCUCGUCGUCCUCUGCCGCACCGUUGCCGCUGCCCCACCUUCUGCCCAUCUCCUCGCUGCGGCUGUCUCCGCCGCCGUCGGAGACGGAGCAGGAGCAGGAGCAGUUGAGUCACCACCGCAACGACGACCCUGAAGCAACAAAACACGAGUAG